rnacentral:rRNA from 1 species
GGGGAAUAUUGCACAAUGGGGGAAACCCUGAUGCAGCAACGCCGCGUGAGUGAUGACGGUCUUCGGAUUGUAAAGCUCUGUCUUCAGGGACGAUAAUGACGGUACCUGAGGAGGAGGCCACGGCUAACUACGUGCCAGCAGCCGCGGUAAUACGUAGGUGGCAAGCGUUGUCCGGAUUUACUGGGCGUAAAGGAUGUGUAGGCGGAUAUUUAAGUGAGAUGUGAAAUCCCCGGGCUUAACUUGGGGGCUGCAUUUCAAACUGGAUGUCUAGAGUGCAGGAGAGGAAAGCAGAAUUCCUAGUGUAGCGGUGAAAUGCGUAGAGAUUAGGAAGAAUACCAGUGGCGAAGGCGGCUUUCUGGACUGUAGCUGACACUGAGGCUCGAAAGCGUGGGGAGCAAAC